rnacentral:misc_RNA from 1 species
UCUCCGUAGGUGAACCUGCGGAGGGAUCAUUACAGAGUUCAUGCCCUACCGGGUAGAUCUCCCACCCUAUGUUAUUAUUACUUUGUUGCUUUGGCGGGCCGUUAGGCUCCGGCCCGACUACCGGCCCCGGCUGGUAAGCGCCCGCCAGAGGACCCAAAACCCUGAAUAUUAGUGUCGUCUGAGUACUAUAUAAUAGUUAAAACUUUCAACAACGGAUCUCUUGGUUCUC